rnacentral:tRNA from 1 species
UAGAAGUAUAAAGCUUAAUUUGCUAAGUUAAGUUAGGGAUAUAAAUUCCACUUUUAA